UACGGAGGGUGCAAGCGUUAUCCGGAAUCACUGGGUUUAAAGGGUGCGUAGGCGGCUAAAUAAGUCAGAGGUGAAAGCUUGCAGCUUAACUGCGAAAUUGCCUUUGAUACUGUAUAGCUUGAAAGGAGCUGAGGUCAGCAGAAUGUGGCAUGUAGCGGUGAAAUGCAUAGAUAUGCCAUAGAAUACCAAUUGCGAAGGCAGCUGGCUGGGCUUACUUUGACGCUGAGGCACGAAAGCGUGGGGAUCGAACAGG
rnacentral:rRNA from 1 species